rnacentral:rRNA from 1 species
CUGCCCAAUGAGGAUUUAAAUGGCCGCGGUACUUUGACCGUGCAAAGGUAGCAUAAUCAUUAGUUUUUUAAUUGAAAGCUGGUAUGAAAGGUUGGAUGAAAAAAUUACUGUCUCUAUUUAAAUUAUUUAGAAUUUUAUUUUUAAGUAAAAAAGCUUAAAUUAUAAUAGAAGACGAGAAGACCCUAUAGAGUUUUAUAUAUUUUAAUUUGGAAAGGUUUUAGAAUUAAAAAAUUUUUAGGUUAAUGUAUAUUUAGUUGGGGUGAUUGAAAAAUUGAAAAAACUUUUUUUAGAUGUGUAAACAUUUAUUUAUGACAAAAUGAUCCUUAUAUAAAGAUUAAAAGAAAAAAUUACCUUAGGGAUAACAGCGUAAUUUUUUUAGAGAGUUCAAAUCGAAAAAAAAGAUUGCGACCUCGAUGUUGGAUUAAAAUAAAAUUUUGGUGUAGAGGCUAAAAUAUUUGGGUCUGUUCGACCCUUAAAAUUUUACAUGAUCUGAGUUUAAACCGGUGU